UUAGGGUUAGGGUGUGGUUAGGUUAGGAAAUAAUACACUCGAUAUCUCACGCCGUCCCCAUCUCCAAUUUCAG